UAGGGAAUAUUGGUCAAUGGGCGGAAGCCUGAACCAGCCAUGCCGCGUGCAGGAAGACGGCCUUCUGGGUUGUAAACUGCUUUUGCGUGGGACGAUAACGACGGUACCACGCGAAUCAGCCCCGGCUAACUCUGUGCCAGCAGCCGCGGUAAUACAGAGGGGGCAAGCGUUGUCCGGACUUACUGGGCGUAAAGCGCACGCAGGUGGUAACGCAAGUGGGGUGUGAAAGCCGCCAGCUCAACUGGCGGAGGCCAUCCCAAACUGCGUCACUUGAGGCCUGUAGAGGUAUGUGGAAUUGCCGGUGUAGUGGUGAAAUGCGUAGAGAUCGGCAGGAACACCCAGGGGGAAGCCAGCAUACUGGACAGGUCCUGACACUCAGGUGCGACAGCGUGGGGAGCGAACCGGAUUAGAUACCCGCGUAGUCC
rnacentral:rRNA from 1 species